CAAACUAUAGCCAAUGAGCCAAAGCCAGGCUGCCACGGGUUUUUAUAAAUAAAAUUUUAUAGGAACUCAGCCACAGACAUUCCUUUACAUAUUGCCUACAGCUGCUUAAGCACUACAAAGGCAAAGUUGCAUAUUUACAACACAAAUAAUAUGGCCUGCAAGCCUAAAGUAUCUACUAUCGUGCCCUUUAUAGAAAAUGUUUAUCAGCUUUUGUUCUCUUAUCCUAAGUUAUGAGGCUUACAUUUCCGGCCACCUCAUUUGCAUUUGAGUUUCCAGUUUUGAGUUUGUAGUUUUGCAUUCUUGCUUAAAGAGCCCCAAACCCUGACCGCCAAAUUGAAUGUGCUGUAGAUCCCACAAAAUAUGGAUCCAAUCAAGCUGAUGCCAUGUCAUUAUCUGUAGCUUUUAUUCUUUGCCAUCACACACCUUCCUUGAACAGUUAGGCUUCUGCAAAAAAUCUUAAAUAAUCACUGAUAUGGGUUGGUUCUGUGUCUUCACCCAAAUCUCAUCUUGUAGCUCCCAUAAUUUCCACGUGUUAUGGGAAGGAUCCAGUGGGAGAUGUCUGAAUCAUGAGGGCACGUAUGUCCCAUGCUGUUCCCAUGAUAGUGAAUGGAUCUCACGAGAUCUGAUGGUGUUAAAAAUGGGAGUUUCUCCACACAAUCUCUUUUUUGCCUGCUGCCAUCCAUGUAAGAUGUAGCUUACUCCUUGCCUUCCACCACGAUUAUGAUGCCUCUCCAGCCAUGUGGAACUGUAAGUCCAACAAACCACUUUCUUUCGUAAAUUGCCCAGUUGCAGGUAUGUUUUUAUCAGCAGCAUGAAAAUGAACUAAUACAGUAAAUUGUUACCAGUAGAGUGGGGUGCUGGUGGAAACAUAUCCAAAAAUAUGGAAACGACAUUGGAACUGUGUAACAAGCAGAGGUUGGAACAGUUUGGAGGACUCAGAAGAAGACAGGAAAAUGUGGCCAAGUUUGGAACUUCCUAGAGACUUGCUGAAUGGCUUUGAACAAAAUGCUGACAGUGAUAUGGACAAUGAAAUCCAGGCUGAAGUGGUCUCAGCUGGUGAUAAGGAACUUGUUGGGAACCGGAGUAAAGGUGAAUCUUGCUACAUUUUAGCAAAGACACUGGUGGCAUUUUGCCUGGCCCUAUAGAUUUGUAGAACUUUGAACUUGAGAGAGAUGAUUUAGGGUAUCUGGCAGAAGAAAUUUCUAAGCAGGAAAGCACUUAAAAUGUGAAUUCGGUGCUGUUGAGGGCGUUCAGUUUUAUAAGGGAAGCAGAGCAUAAAAAUUUGGAAAAUUUGCAGCCUGACAAUGCAAUAGAAAAGAAAAUCCCAUUUUCUGAGGAGAAAUCCAAGCCAGCUAUGGACAUUUGCAUAAGAUAAUGGGGAAAAUGUCUCCAGGACAUGUCAAAGGUCUUUACCUCAGCCUCUCCCAUCACAGGCACAGAGACCUAGGAGGAAGAAGUGGUUUUGUGGGCUGGGCCCAGGGUUCCUUUGCUGUGUGCAGCCUAGGGACUUCAUCCCCUGCAUCACAGCAACUCUAGCUAUGGCUGAAAGGGGACAACAUAGAGCUCAGGCUAUGGCUUCAGAGGGUGCAAGCCCCAAGCUUUGGCAUCUCCCAUGUGGUGUUGAGCCUACAAGUGCACAGAAGUCAAGAAUUGAGGUUUGGGAACCUCUGCCUAGAUUUCAGAAGAUGUAUGGAAACGCCUGAAUGCCGAGGCAGGAGUUUGCCACAUAGGUGGGGUCCUCAUGGAGAACCUCUGCUAGGGCAGUGCAGAAGGAAAAUGUGGGGAGGGAGCCCCCACACAGAAUCCCUACUGGGGCACCACCUAGUGGAGCUGUGAGAAGAGGGCCACCGUCUUCCAGACCCCAGAAGUGUAGAUCCACUGACAGCUUGCACUGUGUGCGUGGAAAAGCUGCAGACACUUAACACCAGCCCAUGAAGGCAGCCAGGAGGGAGACUGUACCCUGCAGAGCCAGAGGGGUGGAACUGCCCAAGACCAUGGGUAUCCACCUCUUGCCUCAGCGUGACCUAGAUGUGAGACAUGGAGUCAAAGGAGCUUUAGAUUUGACUGCCCUUCUGGAUUUCAGAAUUGCAUGGGGCUUGUAGCCUCUUUGUUUUGGCCAAUUUCUCCCAUUUGCAAUGGCUGCGUUUACCCAAUCCCUGUACCCCUAUAACCCCAUUGUAUCUAGGAAGUAACUAACUUGAUUUUGAUUUUGCAGGGUCAUAGGUGGAAGGGACUUGCCUUGUCUCAGAUGAAACUUUGGACUGUGGACUUUUGAGUUAAUGCUAAAAAGAGUUGACAUUUUGGGGGACUGUUGGGAAGGCAUGACUGGUUUUGAAACAUGCAGAUAUGAGAUUUGGGAGGGGCUGGAGUGAAAUGACAUGGUUUGGCUCUGUGUCCCCAUCCAAAUCUCAUCUUCUAGCUCCCAUAAUUUCUGUAUGUAGUGGGAGGGACCUGAUGGGAGAAGACUGAAUCAUGGGGGCAGGUCUUUCCCAUGCUGUUCUCAUAAUAGUGAAUGGGUCUCACAAGAUCUAGUGGUGUUAAAAACAGGAUUUUCUCUGCACAAGCUCUUUUUUUGCCUGCUGCCACCCACAUAAGAUGUGUCUUGCUCCUUUUUGCCAUGAUUGUGAGUCCUCCCCAGCCAUGUGGAACUGUAUGUCCAAUAAAC
rnacentral:lncRNA from 10 species